GAUGAACGCUGGCGGCGUGCCUAAUACAUGCAAGUCGAGCGAACAGAUGAGGAGCUUGCUCCUCUGACGUUAGCGGCGGACGGGUGAGUAACACGUGGAUAACCUACCUAUAAGACUGGGAUAACUUCGGGAAACCGGAGCUAAUACCGUAUAAUAUAUUGAACCGCAUGGUUCAAUAGUGAAAUACGGUUUUGCUGUCACUUAUAGAUGGAUCCGCGCCGCAUUAGGUAGUUGGUAAGGUAACGGCUUACCAAGGCGACGAUGCGUAGCCGACGUGAGAGGGUGACCGGCCACACUGGACCUGAGACCCGGUCCAGACCCCUACGGGAGGCAGCAGUAGGGAAUCUUCCGCAAUGGGCGAAAGCCUGCCGGAGCAACGCCGCGUGAGUGAUGAAGGUCUUCGGAUCGUAAAACUCUGUUAUUAGGGAAGAACAAAUGUGUAAGUAACUAUGCACGUCUUGACGGUACCUAAUCAGAAAGCCACGGCUAACUACGUG
rnacentral:rRNA from 1 species